rnacentral:rRNA from 1 species
AUUGAACGCUAGCGGCAGGCCUAACACAUGCAAGUCGAACGAGUGGCGGACGGGUGAGUAAUAUCUGGGAAAGUGCCUAAUAGAGGGGGAUAACUACUGGAAAGGGUGGCUAAUACCGCAUACUAUUGGAGCGGCCGAGAUGGGAUUAGCUAGUUGGUGGGGUAAAGGCUCACCAAGGCAACGAUCCGUAGCUGGUCUGAGAGGACGACCAGCCACACUGGAACUGAGACACGGCCCAGACUCCUACGUGAGGCAGCAGUGGGGAAUAUUGCACAAUGGGCGAAACCCUGAUGCAGCCAUCCCGCGUGUAUGAUGAAGGCCUUCGGGUUGUAAAGUACUUUCGGCGGAGAGGCGGUAUCCGCAGAAGAAGCACCGGCUAACUCCGUGCCAGCAGCCGCGGUAAUUC